GGGCGUAUAGCUUAAUGGUAGAGCGUCCCUUACUGGGGAAGAAAGGGGUUCGAUUCCCUGGCGUCCA
rnacentral:tRNA from 1 species